rnacentral:rRNA from 1 species
AUUGAACGCUGGCGGCAGGCCUAACACAUGCAAGUCGAACGAGUGGCGGACGGGUGAAUAAUGUCUGGGAAACUGCCUGAUGGAGGGGGAUAACUACUGGAAACGGUAGCUAAUACCGCAUACCAUCAGAUGUGCCCAGAUGGGAUUAGCUAGUUGGUGGGGUAACGGCUCACCAAGGCGAAGAUCCCUAGCUGGUCUGAGAGGCUGACCAGCCGCCCUGGAGCGGAGCCACGGUCCAUACUCCUACGGGAGGCAGCAGUGGGGAUUUUUGCACAAUGGGCGCAAGCCUGAUGCAGCCAUGCCGCCUGUAUGAAGAAGGCCUUCGGGUUGUAAAGUACUUUCAGCGGUGAGGCGUUACCCGCAGAAGAAGCACCGGCUAACUACGUGCCAGCAGCCGCGGUAAUUC